rnacentral:rRNA from 1 species
UACGUAGGGAGCAAGCGUUGUCCGGAAUCAUUGGGCGUAAAGCGCGCGUAGGUGGCCUCAUAAGUCCGCUGUGAAAGUCAAAGGCUCAACCUUUGAAAGCCGGUGGAUACUGUGAGGCUAGAGUACGGAAGAGGCGAGUGGAAUUCCUGGUGUAGCGGUGGAAUGCGCAGAUAUCAGGAGGAACACCGGUGGCGAAGGCGGUUCUCUGGGCAUUACCUGACGCUGAGGAGCGAAAGCAUGGGGAGCGAACAGG